rnacentral:lncRNA from 1 species
UACUACCUUCUGCGCUUUUACGAACGUGUUUCUAAGUUCAGAACUUUCCGAAUCUGCGUUUAGAUGUAAAUCGACUUUUUCGUACGAUCAUUACACUUCAGUUUACGUUUACGUUUUGAUUUCAAUCAUAACUGCAAACUGCCUUCUGCGCAUUUAUAAAAUGUAUCUCAAAGUUCAGUAUCCUCAAAAUUGGCAUUUAGACGUAAACCGAUUUUAUCGUACGAACGUCGCAUUUCAGUUUGC